rnacentral:ncRNA from 1 species
GAAAGCCGUGUGCUUGGAAACUUGCUCGCACGGUUUGGACGGGGGCGGAUUGUAGUAUAUUAUAGUAUGGCUUGUCUAAAUGACAAUCCCAGCUGUUGAGGCGCAAUUCAUCUAUCCGUAU